rnacentral:rRNA from 1 species
UACGUAGGGGGCAAGCGUUGUCCGGAAUCAUUGGGCGUAAAGAGCGUGUAGGCGGCUCGGUAAGUCCGCUGUGAAAGUCCAGGGCUCAACCCUGGAAUGCCGGUGGAAACUGUCGAGCUAGAGUCCGGAAGAGGCGAGUGGAAUUCCUGGUGUAGCGGUGAAAUGCGCAGAUAUCAUUUGGAACGCCAAUGGUGAAAACAGGUAGCUGGGGAUGUGCUGACGCUGAGACACGAAAGCCAGGGGAGCGAACGGG